AUUGAACGCUGGCGGCAUGCCUUACACAUGCAAGUCGAACGGCAGCGGACCUUCGGGUGCCGGCGAGUGGCGAACGGGUGAGUAAUAUAUCGGAACGUACCUUUCAGUGGGGGAUAACGUAACGAAAGUUACGCUAAUACCGCAUAUUCUGUGAGCAGGAAAGCAGGGGAUCGCAAGACCUUGCGCUGAUUGAGCGGCCGAUAUCAGAUUAGCUAGUUGGCGGGGUAAAGGCCCACCAAGGCGACGAUCCGUAGCUGGUCUGAGAGGAUGAUCAGCCACACUGGAACUGAGACACGGUCCAGACUCCUACGGGAGGCAGCAGUGGGGGAAUAUUGGACAAUGGGGGGCAACCCUGAUCCAGCCAUGCCGCGUGUGUGAAGAAGGCC
rnacentral:rRNA from 1 species